rnacentral:sRNA from 1 species
GACUCGAGGCCAGCGAGAGAGCGUUGCCGCAGGCAACGACCCGUAGGGCGAAGCGCGCAGCGCUGAGUAAUCCUUCCCCCACCACCA